rnacentral:rRNA from 1 species
AUUGAACGCUAGCGGGAUGCUUUACACAUGCAAGUCGAACGGCAGCGCGGACUUCGGUCUGGCGGCGAGUGGCGAACGGGUGAGUAAUGUAUCGGAACGUGCCCAGUAGCGGGGGAUAACUACGCGAAAGCGUAGCUAAUACCGCAUACGCCCUACGGGGGAAAGCAGGGGAUCGUAAGACCUUGCACUAUUGGAGCGGCCGAUAUCGGAUUAGCUAGGUGGUGAGGUAACGGCUCACCAAGGCGACGAUCCGUAGCUGGUUUGAGAGGACGACCAGGCACACUCGGACUGUGACACGGCCCAGGCUCCUACGGGUGGCAACAGUAGGGAAUUUUUGACAAAGGGGGCAACCCUGAUCCAGCCAUCCCGCGUGUGCGAUGAAGGCCUUCGGGUUGUAAAGCACUUUUGGCAGGAAAGAAACGUCGCGGGCUAAUACCCCGUGGAACUGACGGUACCUGCAGAAUAAGCACCGGCUAACUACGUG